UCUUUAAAGAAAGAAAAGAGGACAGGGCCUCUCAAGGACCUGGAACUCACUGAAUAGGCUAGGUUGCUGGCCAGCAAGCCCAAUCUGCCUCCUCCUCUAAAGAAAAGCACCAUGUGUUUGUUUUGUUUUGACUUUGUCUUUAACGUGAGUUUGGGGCCUAACCAAAGGUCCUCAAGCUUGUGUAGCAAGUACUUCAACAACUGACCCCUUCUUAAAAUCAAAAAAAAAAAAAAAAAAAAAAAAAAAAAAAAAAUUAUUAUAUAUCUUUUAUAAUGUAAAGAAAAAUUAAAGGUAGGAUGGUGAAAGAAAAAAAUUUCUGAGGGACAGAUUUCCUUCAGAAAGCUANNNNNNNNNNNNNGUGGGGGUGGAGGGUAAGAUCACUGAAUUGCAGAGGUGGGGGUGGAGGGGAAGAUCAUUGAAUUGCAGAGGUAGGGUGGAGGGAAAGAUCACUGAACUGCUCACCAUUCAGAACAGGAAACAAAGACAUACUAAUAACCACAGAGCUUUAAAAUAUAAAAACUAUCUCUGGAGAUCUCUAGAGAAGAUCGGAAUAUUCCCAACAUACCAAACUCCUUAAAGGGUCAGAAAGAGUUAGUUUCUUGUAUCCCUUUUGUGAUUUAAAAUUCUAAAGUUAGUAGUGCUAGAGAUGGCUCCACAGUUGAGAGCUGACUGUUUCUGCAGAGCAUCUGAAUUUGGUUCCCACAGAGCAGUUUCCAAGCUCCAGGGACUCCUGUGCACAAAGGAUCCGCAUCGAGACUCCAAGGUACACACACAUGAACCUAAUUCUUCUAAAGUCGGGAAUAUGGAGGAGCUGGAAAAUGGGUUAAAACACUUGAUCUUCUUGCCAAGGACCUUGGGUCGGUUCCGAGUUCCCUCGGGGCAGCUUACGACCAUUCUUUAACUAGCUUCUAGGGGAUCUGGGAGAUCCAGUGUCCCACAGCAGCACAGACACACAUACACACAUGCAGGCAAAAUACUCAUAUACAUAAAAUAAAAAUAAGGUAUUCUAAUUAAAUAAGGAGAUUACCUAAAAGAACCUUCUGAAAUACUAUUAAUGGCUUCAGAAGACAAUUUAUCUUCCAGGGUGUAAUUACACAGUCUGAUGUUAUAAAUUUAAAAGUUAAAUUUCCAUGAGUCGAUACAAAUAUGAAAGCACAAAGAAACUUAGAAUGAACCUUUGUCUUAGUGAAGUCAUGCACAGUAGAGCAUAUGUGUAAUGUAAGAGACGUGUGCUCCAGGUUGCCAUGGUCUGUGUCCAUAUCAGCCACUUUACCAAGUGAACUCUUGCUCCCCCCAUAAACACAAAACAAAAACCCCAUGUAAUAGCAAAAUACAAGGAUUUUGCUUUAACUCCAGAACAUGUAACUGAGGCAGGAGAUUCGUGAGUUCAAGGAACGUGGGGAUGGGGGAUGGGGAGUGUGUAUGUGAGUGUUAUGGUAGCCACGUGCUACAAACCAUUAAACAGCAGUCAGACAGAGACCGAGAAGGAAGGAUAGAGAAAGAUGAGCAUGGGAUAUUUUACUAUUAUACUUCCAGUUUAAAUUUUCAACAAAUCCUUACUACUUUUUAAAAAGUAGAAAUUUUUAGGACAAACUACUUCUGCAUUAAUCCACCCAGUUCUUUCCCAGUGCCCCACCCUGUAUUUCUGAAAUACCAGUGGUGUUUGAAUGGACCUUACAUCUGUCCAAUUCUAACUCCCACUGGAUGCACAGAACAGUCAAUGUGUUAGUGUGCGUGACUGAGGGGAAAUGCGCUUAUACUGCACUUAAGUCUUCUGCUAGGUUGCUUAGGAACUAGAGCUACUCAUAAAAACCAAAUUACAAGUGAGAUUCCACAUGGUCAGGAAUGCCUGCCCUUACUGUCAUCCACUGUGAAUUUCCCAACCUUUCAGGAGAAGACUUGCCAACACCACAGUAGCUCCAUUUCAGCAGGGAGAAUGGUAACUUUGUACAGCAUACGCCAAGCGGGGUCCAUCAGUAUGACUGUUUCCUCACGAAGGAACAUCUAUAUAACCAGAGAUUAUGCGUCUUUCAUGAGGUAAGCAUGUAGAAAUCACAUGAUCAAUGUGCCCCAGUG
rnacentral:lncRNA from 1 species